CCCAGCAAAAAGGGACCCACACCCCCCCUGGCUACUGGGCAUGUAUAUGUUAAGAAAUUUAUACAGAUCUUAGUUCAGUUAUAGGUUUUAAAACUUUAAAGUUUUGUCUUUCAGGUGAGUACGUGUUCCAAUAGGCUUUGGAAAAACAUUUUGUUGAAAGUAGCUGUAAUAUCAGUGAGCCACUGACACCAUUAAGACAGAGAUGGAAAAACACCUACAAGAAUUUUGGCGCAUUUCUUGUAGAAGUAGAGACCAAGGACCAGGAAUUGUGGAUGGUUGCUGAGGCUCUGAUGUGUUUGCAGACGAUCAUCUGGACCUGUUGUCAUGGAGAACUCUAGACCAUAUGGUACCACAGCUGACAGCAGAGAUUAAUUAACAGAAGAGAAGCCUAGGAGACCACCUUUCUAUCAG